rnacentral:rRNA from 1 species
UACAGGGGGUGCAACCGUUGCUCGGAAUUAUUGGGCGUAAAGCGCGCGUAGGCGGCCACUUAAGUCGGAUGUGAAAGCCCCUGGCUCAACUGGGGAAGUGCACCCGAAACUGAAUGGCUUGAGUGCGAAAGAGGGUCGCGGAAUUCCCGGUGUAGAGGUGAAAUUCGUAGAUAUCGGGAGGAACACCGGUGGCGAAGGCGGCGACCUGGGUCGACACUGACGCUGAGGCGCGAAAGCGUGGGGAGCGAACAGG